AGAAAUAUAUAUCAUGUUUUUUAAGUCUUUCAAAAGUACGGUUUAGGUUUAGGCGGCGUGCAGAAGAAGAUGCUAGGGUUUCGCCGCCUCCUACAGUCACAAGCUAUUGCCUAUAAAUAUCCAAUCCUGCAGCCACCGAUUCAACUCAAAUCAGCUCAGCUCGGCUCAGAUGCGUAGGGUUUUAGAUAGUUUUCACCUUUCAAUCGCAAACUCGACAUUUAGGGGCAAAAGGCGCUGGAAAAUUAACUUUUGAAGCCUUCCUGUCAGUUAGAUGUGGGCACGCCUAAGUAUGAUGUCCAAAGCCGGAUUUGCGGGAUUGUUGGCCACGUGCAAACUUCCAAAUAUUUGGAGAUUCCUUCGCGGGUGACAAUUCUGGAACAAUGCUGACUUAGCCAAUUUGCACGUGAAGAGUCAUUUGGCAACGUGAAGAGUCAUUUGGCAACAAGACUUCAAUUGGAUUUCAAUUGAUUGGGUUCCUUCUUUGACUAAACGUGCUGACCCACAAAAGCAGGAAGACUACUGGGUCUCUUUUGGAGACAGCCGCACGAGGACUCUAUAAAUAAAUCCCUUCGCUGGCUUCAGGGAGCGCUCUCUCGUUCUCUCUCUCUCGGAGAGCCUUUUGGUCUUUUGGCCAAUCUUUUGUUCCCUUCAGUUUUUCUCUUAUCAAACACUAAGGCGGCUAUUAUUUUUAUUCUUGCACAGCUGGUUCUCCAUAAUGGAGAACUAGCUUCUCAAUUCUAGUCAAGGGGACAACUGAAGAUUUGGUUCAACAAUUACUGUGAGAUCUAAUUUAUUUUAAUUGCUUCCUUAAUUUAUUGG